rnacentral:rRNA from 1 species
GUGGCGAACGGGUGAGUAACACGUGGGGAAUCUGCCUAUAAGUGGGGGAUAACAUUCGGAAACGGAUGCUAAUACCGCAUAUAUUCAAAAACCGCAUGGUUUCUGAAAGAAAGACGGCUUUGCUGUCGCUUAUAGAUGAUCCCGCGGCGUAUUAGUUAGUUGGUGGGGUAAUGGCCUACCAAGACCAUGAUACGUAGCCGACCUGAGAGGGUGAUCGGCCACACUGGGACUGAGACACGGCCCAGACUCCUACGGGAGGCAGCAGUAGGGAAUCUUCCACAAUGGGUGCAAACCUGAUGGAGCAAUGCCGCGUGAAUGAAGAAGGUCUUCGGAUCGUAAAGUUCUGUUAUUAGAGAAGAACAAGUCAAGGAGUAACUGUCUUGACUUUGACGGUACCUAACCAGAAAGUCACGGCUAACUACGUGCCAGCAGCCGCGGUAAUACGUAGGUGACAAGCGUUGUCCGGAAUUAUUGGGCGUAAAGGGAGCGCAGGCGGUUGGAAUAGUCUGAUGUGAAAGCCCACG